ensembl:lncRNA
GUCUGAUUUCUGCCAAAGGGUGCGUUUUAUGCUGCUGGCAGGCAGAAAUCCUAUUUUGCUGGUUGCCUUUUCCCAUGGAGGUGAAAGAGGAGACUUUCAGGCUGGUUAGACGGUAAGAAUUAACACAAUUACAGAAAACGAGAGAGGAAGACAUUUGCAUUUUUUUAAUGGUUGACGAUCGGUGAUAGAGAAAAGGGAAUUGUAUUGAGGAAAGAUAUAUAAAGCAGUCCUAGCUGCUUCUGUAGCCAUUAGAGAACAAGACUCAGGCAUGUGCUAGCUUGUGUAGGAGUGUGUUGUGUUAGUUUCAGUGUGUCAGCAUGUGUUCUUUCCCUUUCACUGUCUGUCCCUUCUUAUGUAAGUGUGCAGCUCUGUCUUAGUUUGUGUGUGUAUAUAAGAUGGCUUGGGGUUAAUGCAUGCCAAACGUCCCCUGUGAGUCUGUUUGUGUGCACAUAAGCAGGAGUUUGCACAUCAGCGGUCUCGUAAUCUGUCUCUCACUGGCUUUUUUCUGUUUUUGUCUGGAGAGCGUCUGGGAGUAUAACAGUUAUCAGAUGCUACCGUAUGUCUAAGUGUGGGUCUUUUCUCUUGCAUCUGUCUUUUUAAGCAAGAGGUGAUUAAGUGGAAGGUUUAGAAAUAUUUGUCAUUGAUCCUUUCGAAGCUUUGGUGGAAUUGUUUUUUCUAUGGGCCAUUCUGCCAGCGGAGCCUCAAAAUGCUACAAAAGAAUACUAGUUUUUUGUGACGAAAGAAAUGAAUAAACACAGUGGAAUCAAGAAAUCAAGUUGCCUCAAAGGGAUCAGCACCAAUGCCUGAGGAACUCACUGCUGAUUAAGAAACAGCAAGAGAAGGAAACUGAGUGAAGGAGGAGAAGGGGAACGCACCCAAAGAGAAGUGAGAGAGACGUACCUCCCAACAGAGCAAUGAGGGGACGAGAUCGACAGUACAUGGUGGUGUGCACAGUCUGGUGUGUUACCAUCUCAGCAAGCCCUGAGCAAAGCAGCCAACGAGUGCCACUAAAACUCAAUAAUGAAAGGUGCAGUGGAUCGAUAAUCCCGUCAGGUCAGAGAGGCCGUCGGUCACAUCUGUCCGACACGUAUCGACGCUUUGCUGGAAGAAGAAAAAAAACAGAAGGAGCAAAGGUUUGGAGACGCGGGGGUUCCGGCGUGUCCUUCCUCUGCGCCCUGUACGCACAAGGAAGAGAGAGACCUUGUUUCAUUGCGCACCGGAGAUCUUCGUUGAACUUCACGAACCUCUGGCGGACCGGAUCAGAUAUCGGUCCAGUCGGUGCUUUACCCUGCAAGUAGCGAGACAGUUUGGAUUUAUCCGCCAAAAAAAGUGGAAUUUGGGUAUUGUGCUGUUUCAUCCGGACCCUAAUCUGCGCUGACACGUGGAAUCGGAUGCGUUCCGUUUAAUAUCAGCUCUGUUCAUAAUAAUCCAAUUUAGAAACUCGUCGUCUGCGGUCGUAGGUUUGAGGCUGUAAAGUCACCGCUCUUCCUCAGCUCGUCCUCCGCGGGGCUGGAGGGGAAAGAGCCGGCGCGCUGAGGGAUGCGGAGCCGGGACCUUGUUUUGUUUUUCAGCUCACCUGCGGAACUCUUCGCAGCGCAAACCAAAGUAUCCCUGCUGAUUCUUCUUGAUCGGUGCAUCAGAGAUAGGACACACACCCAGACUGAACAGACGCGGGGUUAGUUGGCUACAUAACCUCCCCCUGCCGACCGAGGCAGCCGGUGAACCCGCGGGGCGCCAUGCUGAGGCAGAUGCUCCUCAACUCCACCGACACCUCAGACUUCCACCUGGCACUCGUGGCCCAGUCCUCCACGCACGCCCCCUCCUCCAUGAACGCCUCCCACGGCGGUUCGGUGAGCGUCGCCGCUCUCCUGAGACCCACCGCGGGGCGAGGGGGAGGGGGCCUCCGGGAGGGCGAGCUCCACAAGCCGGACCUGACCACCUACAUAGUGAUGUGCCUGCUGCUCUUCCUGUUGGUGCUGCUCAUCGUGUUCUUCAUCAACUGCCAGCUGCGGAACUCUUUCUUCGCCUCCAUGCCAUAUGACAGGUCGUUGAGAGAGGCCCGGAGCUCCUACAAGUGAGACCCCCCCCCAACCAACCCAGGCCAAUCUCUGUGACCUUUAGAGAGACUCCUGUGCGGGGGUUGAAGGACUGACUGGUCUCCUUGAACUGCUGCUGCUGGAAUCAUGUGGUUUGCCUUUAAUAGUUGUCUUGGACACAUUGAUUAGGCAGUGCCUCGGUGAGUGAAAUGUUGCACACAUCUUCCACGUCGGGGCCUGUACACCCUCCGAGAUAUAUGGCUCUUCGGACCAUGGGGGGCAUUUGGGAAGCUGAAUAGCUCCAGAUGGCAACAUAACAUUAGACUAUAACUCCUGCUCAAUUUAGGGCGCCUAUUUUGGGUGAUUAAUGAAUACAAUGUGAAACAAUCCAUCACGCCCUGUAAACAACUCAUCAUCCCCGUAUUGCACUUUGGAAAGAAAUGAUAUAUAUCCCUUUACAGCAUAUUCGCAAACUUGUGUUGAUUCAUCUCCCUGAAUUGGAGUCUAAAUUUGCUGUAUUUCUCACUGGCCCAGACAGGUUUCAGCUUCUUCUUUUUGUUCACGUAAACGUGGCGUACUGCAACAGAGAGCGUAUACAGUAGGUGGCGUAUAUUCAACAUUUUCUAUGACUGUAACUUAACCGUCUUGUCUCGUGAAAUGAAACAAUCAACGCACAACGCCCUUUUGUCCAUGUAAAAUGCUGAUUCAAUUACAGACUGUUUCUAUAAUGUCACAUAAAGAUAUUUAAAUGUACUUUAAGUGUCUCUUCAUCUCUGCACCUGCUUGUUAGUGGCGAUGCUGAAAAUAGCUGUUGAUGCGAUGGUCCAACCGUUAUUCAUGGUGGUUAGUCCUACAGUGCAUUUUCAUUUUUAAUUAACCUCUCCCCCACAAUUAACACAAGAGAGAAUGAAGACCUGAGGCUGCAGUUUAUGAUGAGACUUUUGCGAUAAACUAAACUGUUUUGCACAAAACCUCUCCAAUCGUGUUGUUGGAAACUUCUCCCCCAAACCAAGUCAGAUAUGAGCCUAUCUCUAUAAUCCUGUGCGUGGUCGUGUGUGCGCCCAGCUUAGUGGAAAAUACAUUUUGCAUUUAAAGUGUAGAAACACAGUUGUUUGUCUUGGAAUCGGAGAAGCAUUGCAAGCGAUAAAACUACAUCUGCAUUGAUUGGUGAAUUCAUAAAUCACAGACCAACUACUGUUUUGGAUGAUCUUCCGCUUACAAUUGGGUCAGCAAAUUCAGAACAACAUGUGCCUUGUUAAAUCAGUUGCCG